UCAAGCGAACAAGGGCGCAGGGCGAAUGCCUUGGCACUGGGAGCCGAUGAAAGACGUGAUAAGCUGCGAUAAGCUUCGGGGAGCUGCAAAUAAGCAUUGAUCCGGAGAUUUCUGAAUGAGGAAACUCACCUGGGUUCAUACUCAGGUACGUUAUACUGAACUUAAAAAUAGGUAUAUCGAGGGAACCGCCUGAACUGAAACAUCUAAGUAGGGCGAGGAAGAGACAUCAAACGAGAUUCCGUAAGUAGUGGCGAGCGAACGCGGAAGAGGGCAAACCGGGAGUAGAAAUACUUCCGGGGUACGGACUGCUUUUAGGACUUAAUCUGUUAACCGAACGGCAUGGGAAGGCCGGUCAGAGAGUGUGAGAACCACGUAGGUGAAAACGGAGAGAGCUGCGCAGGAUCCAGAGUACGGCCAGACACGUGAAACCUGGUCGGAAUACGGGGGGACCACCCUCCAACCCUAAAUACUACCCAGUGACCGAUAGCGUAUAGUACUGUGAAGGAAAGGUGAAAAGCACCCCGGGAGGGGAGUGAAAAAGAACCUGAAACCCUGUGCCUACAAGCACCUAGAGCACGUCAAUGUGUGAUAGGGUACUUUUUGUAGAACGGUCCGGCGAGCGAUUGUAUGCAGCAAGGUUAAGGACUUAAGGUCUGGAGCCGAAGCGAAAGCGAGUUUGAAAAGGGCGUUAAGUUGCAUAUAAUGGGCCCGAAACCGGGUGACCUACCCAUGGUCAGGUUGAAGUGGAAGUAAAAUUCCAUGGAGGACCGAACCGACCUCCGUUGAAAAGGCGGCGGAUGAACUGUGGGUAGCGGAGAAAUUCCAAUCGAACCCGGAGAUAGCUGGUUCUCCCCGAAAUAGUUUUAGGACUAGCCUCAAGUUAGAUACCUGGAGGUAAAGCACUGAAUAGCCUAGCGGCCGAGAGGUUAGCGAAGCUUAUCAAACUCAGAAUGCCAGAGUAUUGAUGCUUGGGAGUCAGACAGUGUCAGAUAAAUGUCAUUGUCAAAAGGGAAACAGCCCAGAUCUACAGCUAAGGUCCCAAAGUCAGGUUAAGUGGAAAACGAUGUGAAGAUACGCAGACAACCAGGAUGUUGGCUCAGAAGCAGCCACUCAUUCAAAGAGUGCGUAAUAGCUCACUGGUCGAGCGUCUUUGCGCGGAGAAUUUAACGGGGCUAAACCUGACACCGAAGCUUAGGCAAUACAGCAAUGUAUUGGGUAGGGGAGCGUUGUAUACGCGGAGAAACAGUAGCGUAAGCGGCUGUGGAGUGUAUAGAAGUGAGAAUGCCGGAAUGAGUAGCGCGAAUGCAGUGAGAAUCUGCAUGGCCGAAAGCCUCAGGUUUCUGGAGGAAGGUUCGUCCGCUCCAGGUUAGUCGGGAGCUAAGGUGAGGCCGGAAGGCGUAGCCGAUGCACAGACGGUAGAGAUUCCGUCACCACCAAAAGAGUUAAGCACAGGGACACAUUUGAAGUCUCAGAGCCGGGUGUUGGUUCCGGUAGAGAUCGAGGGAAAUUAGUACCGAAGUCUGAGAUGGAAGAUGGCGAGAAAAGCUGUGUGUAUUUCUGAGGUGCCCGUACCGCAAACCGACACAGGUAGGUAGGAAGAAGAUUCUAAGGCCAACGGGAGAAGGGUUGUUAAGGAACUCGGCAAAUUGACCCCGUAACUUCGGGAGAAGGGGUGCUCCAGAGAUGGAGCCGCAGAGAAUCGGCCCAAGCAACUGUUUACCAAAAACACAGGUUUGUGCUAAAUCGAAAGAUGACGUAUACGAGCUGACGCCUGCCCGGUGCUGGAAGGUUAAGAGGAGAUGUGCAAGCAUUGAAUCGAAGCCCCAGUGAACGGCGGCCGUAACUAUAACGGUCCUAAGGUAGCGAAAUUCCUUGUCAGGUAAGUUCUGACCCGCAUGAAAGGCGUAAUGAUUUGGGCACUGUCUCAACAGCCCGCCCGGCGAAAUUGUAGU
rnacentral:rRNA from 1 species